rnacentral:miRNA from 1 species
UCCCGUCAACAGGUGAAGCUACCACAUGAUCUGAUCUUUCCUUGACUGGCCAAAAGGGAAGUUUAGAUCAUGCUGGCAGCUUCAACUGCUGGUGGU